rnacentral:snRNA from 1 species
AUACCUUAUUCAGUUUUUUGGUUAAGAUCGAGUGUAGUAUGUGUUAUUAUCAAAUUAAUAUCUAAUAUGUGGAGCAUCGGUUCACACAAUAUUGAAUUUACUUUUUGAAGGGGAAGGCUCACCACAAUAGUUUACUAUUGGAGUCUUCAUGCGUCAUCCAUGUGUUGUACUAAGGCACAGGCCUGGUGCACCCCAC